rnacentral:rRNA from 1 species
UACGUAGGCAGCAAGCGUUGUUCGGAGUUACUGGGCGUAAAGGGUGUGUAGGCGGUCUUCUAAGUUUGGUGUGAAAUCUCCCGGCUCAACUGGGAGGGUGCGCCGAAAACUGGGAGGCUAGAGUGCGGGAUGGGAGAGUGGAAUUCCUGGUGUAGCGGUGAAAUGCGCAGAUAUCAGGAAGAACACCCGUGGCGAAGGCGGCUCUCUGGGACGGUACUGACGCUGAGACGCGAAAGCGUGGGGAGCGAACAGG